AGCCCGUCCUCGCUCAGCGUGUGCUUCAACGUUUUGAAUCUCGUCUUGCGAGUGGGAUUUUCACCGAGAAAUGCCACGAGAAAACACAUCUGAGCGCGCGCCGCGUCCGUGAAUUCAUUCAGCGGCGCGCGAGUUGAGUCUACAACGCUCUCAUAUCUGUUUUUAAGACCAGCCCCCGGCCGCGGGGAGGGAGGAUCCUGUGUUACACACUAACGUACAGCGUACGACUCGUGUAUUCUACGUAGUUCUAAGAGAGAUGGCAGAAGUCGCACCCUCUCCCGCCGCCGCGCCGGCCAAAGCGCCCAAGAAGAAAGCAGCUUCGAGAGCAAAAAAAGCCGGCCCUAGCGUCGGCGAGCUGAUCGUCAAAGCCGUUUCCUCGUCUAAGGAGAGGAGCGGCGUGUCUCUCGCUGCGCUGAAGAAAGCGCUGGCUGCCGGCGGAUACGAUGUGGAGAAGAACAACUCCCGCGUCAAGAUCGCCGUUAAGGGUCUCGUGACUAAAGGGACUCUGGUGCAGACCAAAGGGACCGGCGCGUCUGGCUCUUUCAAGCUGAACAAGAAGCAGACCGAAGACAAGAAGCCCGUGAAGAAAGCCGCGCCCAAAGCGAAAAAGCCCGCCGCUACUAAGAAGCCCAAGAAGGUAGCGGCCAAGAAACCCGCCGCCGCGGCCAAGAAGUCUCCUAAGAAGGCGAAGAAGCCCACAGCCGCCGCAAAGAAAGCCACCAAGAGCCCGAAGAAGGCGAAAAAGCCCGCGACCCCUAAAAAGGCAGCCAAGAGCCCCAAAAAAGCGAAAGCUGUCAAGCCCAAGACCACAAAGCCUAAAGCGGCAAAGGCGAAGAAGGCAGCACCCAAAAAGAAGUCAGUCUCCCCGGCGCGCGCGCACAGACAUAUGUAGUCAAAUCGGAGGAGCGAGCCAUAAGAUCUGUUAUGACGUCACGUUCAGAGUUCUGCGGCGUUGUGCUGGAUGGAGCUUGACUGCCCUCGUGUGUCCAAACUCAGGAACGGCAGUUUCCCUGAAGGGGUAUUCUGUUCCAAGUUUUGUGAUCUGGAUGUUCAGCUGGUCUCAGAUCAAGCAUCCUCCUCUGUACUGACUCCACUAUCCCCAGCUUCAUCCCAUUCAUCAGAUGUCCUGGAGUCCACACGAAAGAGUAGGAACCCAACAGGGUUAAUGGAGCAGAAUGAAGCAAGACAGGUAAGCUUUGAAUAAAUGCAUUUAAAAUUCUCAAUUACGUAAUUGUUUAUUAUUGAUACUUAUCUGUAGAAGUGUUUUGUAAAUGUAUUCUCGACAUAAAGGAAAGGCAUUAAAAAUCCUCUUAAAUUUCCAUGAGCAUGUCAUAACGAUGUAAGAUGUUUUGACAGAAAGUUGAUUGUGUUCUGAGGGCCAAUCGAAAGGGUGAGGAAAUCUUCAAGGAGUAUGAAAAGACCAAAACACUAACAUGUCUGCAACCAGGACGUUCACCAUCUGUUUACGUGUGGCAUAUGUUAGAGCUACAUGGGUAAGAAUUGGAGGUCACUUCCCUCCCUUUGUCAUCACAACAGAUUCAUGUGGCACAGAUAAAGAAUGCUAUUCUGUGUUGCUAUAAAAGGAGAAUUUAUCCUUUAACUUCUUGCAAAACAUACACACUUGCAAAGUAAAUUGAUUUAUUUUGAAAGGAUGAUUCCAUGGUCAAGUGUGAAGACCAAUUAUGCACUGGGAAUUGUGACACUUUUUCCAUACCUCCAAGAUCCUUUCUCCAAACAUGGAUAUGUAAGUUUUGUCUGAAAACCCAAACCAGUGUGUGUGUUUAUAUUUUCUUCCCUUUUAUAGUUUUAAAGUUAAAAUGAUCUUGUUUUAGAUGAGUGUUUAUAGGUUGCUCAGCUUUGUAUUUUCCACUUGUUUUUGUAAUUUUAUAUAGUCAUUGUGUGAACUUAUUGUGUUGAGUAAUUCAUUCUUGAA